rnacentral:rRNA from 1 species
CAAUAGCGUAUAUUAAAGUUGUUGCAGUUAGAACGCUCGUAGUCGGAUUUCGGGGCGGGCCGACCGGUCUGCCGAUGGGUACGCACUGGUCGGCGCGUCCUUCCUUCCGGAGACCGUGCCUACUCUUAACUGAGCGGGGGCGGGAGACGGAUCGUUUACUUUGAAAAAAUCAGAGUGUUUCAAGCAGGCAGCUCGCUCUUGCAUGGAUUAGCAUGGGAUAAUGAAAUAGGACUUUGGUGCUAUUUUGUUGGUUUCGAACACCGAAGUAAUGAUUAAAAGGGACAGUCAGGGGCACUCGUAUUCCGCAGAGGGAGGUGAAAUUCUCAGACCCGCGGAAGACGAACCACUGCGAAAGCAUUUGCCAGGGAUGUUUUCACUGA